rnacentral:rRNA from 1 species
GGCCCAGACUCCUACGGGAGGCAGCAGUGAGGAAUAUUGGUCAAUGGUCGGGAGACUGAACCAGCCAAGCCGCGUGAGGGAUGAAGGUACAGAGUAUCGUAAACCUCUUUUGUCAGGGAACAAAGGCGGGGACGUGUCCCCGGAUGAGUGUACCUGAAGAAAAAGCAUCGGCUAACUCCGUGCCAGCAGCCGCGGUAAUACGGAGGAUGCGAGCGUUAUCCGGAUUUAUUGGGUUUAAAGGGUGCGCAGGGGGAAAAUCAAGUAGGGGGUAAAAUUGGGGGGCUCAACCUCUUCGAGCCGUUGAAACUGGUUUUCUUGAGUGAGCGAGAAGUAUGCGGAAUGCGUGGUGUAGCGGUGAAAUGCAUAGAUAUCACGCAGAACUCCGAUUGCGAAGGCAGCAUACCGGCUCCACACUGACGCUGAGGCACGAAAGCGUGGGUAUCGAACAGGAUUAGAUACCCUCGUA